rnacentral:rRNA from 1 species
AGGGCAGCAUGGUCUUAGCUUGCUAAGGCCGAUGGCGACCGGCGCACGGGUGAGUAACGCGUAUGCAACCUGCCCGAUACCGGGGUAUAGCCCAUGGAAACGUGGAUUAACACCCCAUAGUACUUUUAUCCUGCAUGGGAUGUGAGUUAAAUGUUCAAGGUAUCGGAUGGGCAUGCGUCCUAUUAGUUAGUUGGCGGGGUAACAGCCCACCAAGACGAUGAUAGGUAGGGGUUCUGAGAGGAAGGUCCCCACAUUGGAACUGAGACACGGUCCAAACUCC